AUGGCGGCGCUAAGGGCAGCGGGGGCUGCGUUGCUGCGGCCCGGGCGCAGGGAGGCGGUGGUCAGGCUGGGCUACCACAAGAAGGUGGUGGAUCACUACGAGAACCCACGCAACGUCGGCUCCCUCGACCGCAACUCCAAGAACGUGGGCACCGGCCUGGUGGGCGCCCCGGCCUGCGGCGACGUCAUGAAGCUGCAGGUGGAGGUGGAUGAGCAUGGGAAGAUCGUGGACGCCCGGUUCAAAACCUUUGGCUGCGGAUCGGCGAUAGCAUCGAGUUCACUGGCCACAGAGUGGGUCAAAGGGAAAACGGUUGAUGAAGCGCUGAAGAUCAAGAACACAGAUAUAGCCAAAGAGCUCUGCCUUCCCCCAGUCAAACUGCACUGCUCCAUGCUGGCUGAAGAUGCCAUCAAGGCUGCCUUGGCUGAUUACAAGUUGAAGCAAGAUCCAAACAAAGGGGAGGCAGAGAAGGAAGCCAACAAGGCCUGAAGCUGCCUGCAAAGCUCAUCCUCAUUCCACUCUGCGGUGCAAUCUCUCUAGCUGUUAGUAGGACCCUCUGCACUACUACAGGAAGCUGUAAGAUACGCACAAGUUACGCACAAGGUGUCACUGCUCACCUGUGUACAGCCACUCUCCUGCUGCUUACACCUCUGGGGGCCUGGCCCUGGCCACAACCUGUGUCCUCUCACCACGUUAAAAGUGAAGAAGGCUCCUCAACUGCAGUGGCUUCUCUCAGGAGAGAAAAUCCUGCUGUUCCGUUCAGACCCAUGGCGAUGCUGGGCUGUGAGGAAGCUCCCCAGGGAGCAGAGAUGGAUCUGUGCCCUCUGGGGCUGCCUCUACAUCUUCUGCUGAGCUUUGCUGGAGGGGCAGGUCGUGGAGAGAGCAUGCUUGGUGUGGUGCUCACCCACUUGAGCAUUCACACAGCAACUGUGAGCUGCUCCCCAGCUCCCAAGCCUUUAAAAAUUAACUAUUUUGAGGUGAGCAUCAUCUGAAAAUUAAAUGUUUUGUGGUGCUCUGGCACGACUUACCCUCUGUGCUGCAGGCCACCACUCUCUCCUGUGCCUUCUGGUGAUUGCUUUUUUGUCUUGGGGGGGAGGGUUUCCAUAGGUUCCAAAACAAGGAGAAAACACAUUUGGAAACAUUUAAGAUUUUAAACCACACCUCCCCUCCU